rnacentral:rRNA from 1 species
UCGACGGGAGAAUUGCUAGCUUGCUAAUAAUUCUCUAGUGGCGCACGGGUGAGUAACACGUGAGUAACCUGCCCCCAAGAGUGGGAUAGCCCCGGGAAACUGGGAUUAAUACCGCAUAAAAUCGCAAGAUUAAAGCAGCAAUGCGCUUGGGGAUGGGCUCGCGUCCUAUUAGUUAGUUGGUGAGGUAACGGCUCACCAAGGCGAUGACGGGUAGCCGGUCUGAGAGGAUGUCCGGCCACACUGGAACUGAGACACGGUCCAGACACCUACGGGUGGCAGCAGUCGAGAAUCAUUCACAAUGGGGGAAACCCUGAUGGUGCGACGCCGCGUGGGGGAAUGAAGGUCUUCGGAUUGUAAACCCCUGUCAUGUGGGAGCAAAUUAAAAAGAUAGUACCACAAGAGGAAGAGACGGCUAACUCUGUGCCAGCAGCCGCGGUAAUACAGAGGUCUCAAGCGUUGUUCGGAAUCACUGGGCGUAAAGCGUGCGUAGGCGGUUUCGUAAGUCGUGUGUGAAAGGCGGGGGCUCAACCCCCGGACUGCACAUGAUACUGCGAGACUAGAGUAAUGGAGGGGGAACCGGAAUUCUCGGUGUAGCAGUGAAAUGCGUAGAUAUCGAGAGGAACACUCGUGGCGAAGGCGGGUUCCUGGACAUUAACUGACGCUGAGGCACGAAGGCCAGGGGAGCGAAAGGGAUUAGAUACCCCUGUAGUCCUGGCAGUAAACG